UGGGCGGUUACAGUGGUUGGACUGCUGGCCGCGGGUUUGGGCUCCUGGUUGGAAGACAGAAGGACCAGGACGGCCUCCUGGGUUUCAGCGAACAUAAGGAUUUGAACUACUGGACCAUGGUGACCCCAUUCCUGAACAUUCCCCUGGACACCUAAUGAGGCCUCUACCAUGUCUCCUCUGUGGAAGAUCCCAUGGUCCACUUUGGAGAACUCUGUCUUCUUGUGUCUUCGAGGCUUGACGGAGUAGGAAAGCCUGUGAUCUCCCAGGAGAACUUGAGCAGCCUCUGAACUGCCUUCCGCUUUGAGAAGCGUUUUCUUGGAACUUGCCCUCUCAAGGGUGAAGCCUGGCGUGUUUAAUCUUGUCUGAGUCUCUGACUUGCUUUCCCAUGGCUUUUACCGAGGCUUCAUUGAACACUCGUCACAUACAGGAGCCGACUGUGACUUGCUCAGUCUUUGCGAUAGCAACAUGAUUUCCUGGUGAUUCAGGUUGUAUAGCCAGGGGAAAUACAAUCUUUCUAAAGUCACUGCCAUUCUCGCUACCAGCGAUUGCUAUAACAUGACACUUGGAAUCCCCAAUGUCAUGAUACAUGUUGGUGAAACAUUGUGACGGGAGCAUGCUUCCCUUGUGAGCCAUUUCCGAGGUCUUCUGCUGGAGAAUUCGAGGCUGCCUGAAACACGGCGAAGGAGCUCAGAAAGCGGCCACUUCUUCAGCAGUUGUCGCACUGGACACUACCAUUUUGCCAGGAAAUACUUUUGUGUGUGUCUGAGUGUGUGCAAACAUGCUCACGUGUAGAUGUGCUCCAUGUGCACAUAUGUGUGACUCCUUAUGCCAGAGGUUGACAUUAGGUGUCUUCCAUUGUCCUUUUCCAUCUUUUGUGGCUCACUGAUUGGCUAGGUCAGCUGGCCAAUAAGCUGUGGUGAUGCACUUACCUUUACACUCCCAUCUCUAGGGUCACAGAUUUGCGUGACCAUACCCAUUGUCAUGUAAGUGUUAGGAUUCAAACUCAGGUCAUUUUUGCUUCCAUGGCAGGCACUUAUUUCUCACUAAACCAUCUCCCCAGCCUCAGAAACUAAUCCUCAUCUUUUAUGGGAG